GUCCAAUCGUGCAAGCCAUAGGUGUCUGAGGAAACUAGCUCUCAUUCCACUCCAAAUCAGACUCGAAUUUGGGGAUUCUUUAGGGCUUUAGGGUUCUUAAAAUUUUUUUGCAGAGAAAACAAGCUUCCAAGAAAUGGAGCUGGUGGGGUUCUUCAAAUCUGGCAUCACAGCACCGUCCGGAUCCCGGGAUAAAGAAGAAGAAGAAGAAAACGAAGGCAUUCCAGAGAGGUUCCUGAAGCUGCAGCUGCUCCUUGCAUAACACAUAGGCCUUGAAAACAAUGGGUGGUGGCUCCCAGAAAACCCAGCUUCCAUGUCCACCAGUGAGGCCACCCCAUCAUCCUCCUCGACGAAACAAUGCCUUCAUGCGCUGCUUGAGAUUGAGUCCAUGUCUAAUGCUACGAUCUUUUAUAUGUGUUUUGUGUAAGACUAAUAAGAAGACCCAGUUGUAAUUUGUGCUUGUCAAAGCCCUACCGCCUCACUACCACCAACACAAUUUACAGCCCAAAACCCUGAUAGCCAAGCCACACCCAAACCUCAAAACUCCUAAAAACACCCAGAUAUAUAUGUCCUAUUACUAAACAAAAACAGAG
rnacentral:lncRNA from 1 species